rnacentral:rRNA from 1 species
UACAGAGGGGGCAAGCGUUAUUCGGAAUUACUGGGCGUAAAGGGCGCGUAGGCGGUUCUUUAAGUCGGAUGUGCAAUCCCCGAGCUCAACUUGGGAACUGCAUCCGAAACUGGGGAGCUAGAGUACUGGAGAGGGUGGUAGAAUUCCACGUGUAGCGGUGAAAUGCGUAGAUAUCAGGAGGAACACCUGAGGUGUAGACGGCUAUCUGGACCGUAACUGACGCUGAGGCACGAAAGCGUGGGGAGCAAACAGGAUUAGAAACCCGGGUAGU